CAACCCGAUGCAAACUACGAAUACCGAAGAAUGUUAUCACGGGAGACACACGGCGGGUGCUAACGUCCGUCGUGAAGAGGGAAACAACCCAGACCGCCAGCUAAGGUCCCAAAGUCAUGGUUAAGUGGGAAACGAUGUGGGAAGGCACAGACAGCCAGGAUGUUGGCUUAGAAGCAGCCAUCAUUUAAAGAAAGCGUAAUAGCUCACUGGUCGAGUCGGCCUGCGCGGAAGAUGUAACGGGGCUAAACCAUGCACCGAAGCUGCGGCAGCGACACUAUGUGUUGUUGGGUAGGGGAGCG
rnacentral:rRNA from 1 species